AGGAGGGAGCAGUCGCGACUGUCCCGUCACGGAGCGCGGAGGUGCCGAUUCGCCUGUCGUCCGGCCAGUGGAAGAGGUGCCGCCGAGUUGGCAGCUGCUCUUCGAGAGGCCGGGCUGCGGCCCCCCCUCCGAGCGUGUCGACUUGGACGCGACAUCGCUGGCGCCGACUUCAGUUCCUUUUCUCCCACGUUCCCAGACGGAAUUUCGAGCUUCGGCUUUGCAUUGACUGCAAGGACACGACGGAUCCCUACCUCGCUUCCGUCCUGCUUUUCACGCACCGAUUCGUACGCACCGCUUCUGGAGGACGCGCAAGAUGCACCUGGUCGUCGAGAAAUCCUGUCGUGAGGACGCUAUGCUGUGAAUGAAACCUACGAUGAAAAGCCUACUUGCGGGGUGCCAAGACGUGGCAUUAAAGUAAGUGCUGGAACGCUUGAGACUUGCAGAAGGACCCGAAUCUUCAUCGGAAGCCCUGUACCUUUUCUGCUAGCCACGCAACUGGUUUGGAAGGGACAUUACGCGGAUUAUUCGCAGUUAAAAGUUUUCGCCGGGACAACUUGCUGCGCUAAUAGGUCAGAACGGUUUUUGAAUUGAACUUUUUUCUUUGUAAAACAUUGACAUAAGCCUACUUGCCGUUGCUCACUGACCAUGAAAAACUGCAGACAAGAGUGACGCAAACAACGUCGUUAACGGUCGCACUUAGUUUGCCUAUACUGUCACAAGCCAUAGAUAUCCGUGUCCCGUUUUCUGUCUAAAGUAACAACCAAGCAGUUGUGUUUAGUCCGAUUCUUACGCCUGGGCUGCUUUCCGUACCUUGAGCACUCGGGCACCUAGAAUACAUACCUCGGCCAGUCAUCCUUCAUUCCCUGCCCGACGUAGUGCUACAAUGUGUCUAUCUGUUCACCGCAAGCUUUGGUUCUCGAAACUGAAUUCAAUCGGUGCUGCAUUCUCAUCUCUUUGCGUCGGAGAGCGCUUCGGUGCGACGGAUCCCGCAUUCUGAUCACGAACGCAACUGUCACUCCAGCAGCAGGAUGAAUGGUACUGAGUAGAUGACCUCGAGAAAGUCAGGAACGUGACUGGGGACUCCGAGCUCAUUGUUAAACGGGAAAAAAGAGUGUGCAAUUGCAAAAGAAACGAAGAAGCAGGUGACAAAGCGCUGUGGGUUUGUGGGACGGCUGGUGAGAUGCUGUCAACGGACACGAACUAACGGUGCGUGUCUGGACUUGGUGAAAGCGCCGAACACUGAUUGCGGUGUCGGCCCCUACGAGCGGCGUUCUUUUUAGCGCUGACGAAUGAAGUCGGUGCUGGAUUUCUUGUCUUGAAACGCUGUCUUCUUGAAGGAAGCUUCUGCCGUGCGGACACUGGGACUCCAAAAAAGAAAGUGACAGCCGAAACUGCACUGGAGUUAUGCGGUGGCGACGCCUAUCAGCUAGUGAAUAUUUCAUCAGAAAAUACAAGGGUGGACAUGUGACGUCUUUGUCAACCGGCAACAUCUGGAGGCAUCGAUUACCUCCUGAAGAGCAGCACAACUGAAAAGG